rnacentral:rRNA from 1 species
GAUGAACGCUGGCGGCGUGCCUAAUACAUGCAAGUCGAGCGAACAGACGAGGAGCUUGCUCCUCUGACGUUAGCGGCGGACGGGUGAGUAACACGUGGAUAACCUACCUAUAAGACUGGGAUAACUUCGGGAAACCGGAGCUAAUACCGGAUAAUAUAUUGAACCGCAUGGUUCAAUAGUGAAAGACGGUUUUGCUGUCACUUAUAGAUGGAUCCGCGCCGCAUUAGCUAGUUGGUAAGGUAACGGCUUACCAAGGCAACGAUGCGUAGCCGACCUGAGAGGGUGGUCGGCCACACUGGAACGGAGACACGGUCCAGACUCCUACGGGAGGCAGCAGUAGGGAUUCUUCCGAAAUGGGCGAAAGCCUGACGGACCAACGCCGCGUGAGUGAUGAGGGUCUUCGGAUCGUAAAACUCUGUUAUGAGGGAAGAACAAAUGUGUAAGUAACUAUGCACGUCUUGACGGUACCUAAUCAGAAAGCCACGGCUAACUACGUG